rnacentral:rRNA from 1 species
CCUACGGGGGGCAGCAGCCGCGGUAAUACGGAGGAUGCGAGCGUUAUCCGGAUUUAUUGGGUUUAAAGGGUGCGUAGGCGGUCCGUUAAGUCAGCGGUAAAAUUGCGGGGCUCAACCCCGUCGAGCCGUUGAAACUGGCAGACUUGAGUUGGCGAGAAGUACGCGGAAUGCGCGGUGUAGCGGUGAAAUGCAUAGAUAUCGCGCAGAACUCCGAUUGCGAAGGCAGCGUACCGGCGCCAGACUGACGCUGAGGCACGAAAGCGUGGGGAUCGAACAGGAUUAGAAACCCUAGUAGUCCAGGAGAU